CGAACGGGUGAGUAACGCGUGAGGAACCUGCCUCAAAGAGGGGGACAACAGUUGGAAACGACUGCUAAUACCGCAUAAGCCCACGGGUCGGCAUCGACCAGAGGGGAAAGGAGCAAUCCGCUUUGAGAUGGCCUCGCGUCCGAUUAGCUAGUUGGUGAGGUAAUGGCCCACCAAGGCAACGAUCGGUAGCCGGACUGAGAGGUUGAACGGCCACAUUGGGACUGAGACACGGCCCAG
rnacentral:rRNA from 1 species